CUCCUUUCAGGCUUGCACCUGCAGAGUUUCCAGUACUCUACCAGUCUUGACUAUGGGAGGGAGAGUCAAGCAGAGGCAUAUCUACUUCAUUCCUAGCUUGGGCAGUGGCUAGCGAGUGGAAGGUAAUCUGCUACAAUU